UUAUCUGGUUUGGAAACUCGUCAGAAUAAUAACAUAACUCAUUACUGUAUGUUAGUCAACGUUUAUUCAUAAAUCUGGUCGUUCACCAUCACGUGCGAAUUGUAUUUUUGGCAAAUCCACCAAUAGCAAUUUCCAAUUUACCCUAUUGUUCGAGUCACAGAUAUGUAACUUCCCUAAAACAUUGCUAUUGGUUAGUCGGGCAAAAAUACAAUACGCACGUUACGGUGAACGACCAGAUUUUUGAAUAAACGUUGAUUAACACAGACAAUGAGUUAUACUGUUAUUUUAAUGAGUUUCCAAACCGUCUAU